UGAACGCUGGCGGCGUGCUAAUGCAUGCAAGUCGAACGCUUCUUGAGGUUUCGAUCUCAGGAGGAGUGGCGAACGGCUGAGGAAUACGUAGUUAACCUGCCCUUUGGUGGGGGACAACCCCGGGAAACCGGGGCUAAUACCGCAUAAGAUCCUGGGGCGUAGGCCCGAGGAAGAAAGUCGCAAGACGCCGAAGGAGGGAACUACGGCCCAUCAGGUAGUUGGUAGGGUAAAAGUCUACCAAGCCUAAGACGGGUAGCUGGUCUGAGAGGACGAUCAGCCAGAGGGGGACUGAGAUACGGCCCCCACUCCUACGGGAGGCAGCAGCAGGGAAUCUUGGGCAAUGGGCGAAAGCCUGACCCAGCGACGCCGCGUGGGGGACGAAGGCCUUCGGGUCGUAAACCCCUUUUCUCGGGGAAGAUAAUGACGGUACCCGGGGAAGAAGCCCCGGCCAACUACGUGCCAGCAGCCGCGGUAAUACGUAGGGGGCGAGCGUUACCCGGAAUCACUGGGCGUAAAGUGCGAGUAGGCGGCCUGAUCAGUCGUGGGUGAAAAUCCUUGGGCUUAACCCAAGGACUGCUCACGAGACGUUCAGGCUAGAGGGCAGCAGAGGCGGGUGGAAUUCCCGGAGUAGCGGUGGAAUGCGUAGAGAUCGGGAGGAACACCAGAGGCGAAGGCGACCCGCUGGGCUGAGCCUGACGCUGAGGCGCGAAAGCGUGGGGAGCGAACAGGAUUAGAUACCCUGGUAGUCCACGCCCUAAACGAUGGACGCUAGGUAUGGGAGGUAUCGACCCCUUCCGUACCGCAGCUAACGCAAUAAGCGU
rnacentral:rRNA from 1 species